rnacentral:rRNA from 1 species
CCUACGGGGGGCAGCAGUGAGGAAUAUUGGUCAAUGGGCGCGAGCCUGAACCAGCCAAGUAGCGUGAAGGAUGACUGCCCUACGGGUUGUAAACUUCUUUUUUAAAGGAAUAAAGUGAGGCACGUGAGCGUUUUUGUAGGUACUUUAUGAAAAAGGAUCGGCUAACUCAGUGCCAGCAGCCGCGGUAAUACGGAGGAUCCGAGCUUUAUCCGGAUUUAUUGGGUUUAAAGGGAGCGUAGAUGGGUUGUUAAGUCAGUUGUGAAAGUUUGCGGAUCCACCGUAAAAUUGCAAUUGAUACUGGCAGUCUUGAGUGCAGUUGAGGUAGGCGGAAUUCGUGGUGUAGCGGUGAAAUGCUUAGAUAUCACGAAGAACUCCGAUUGCGAAGGCAGCUUACUAAACUGCCACUGACAUUGAUGCUCGAAAGUGUGGGUAUCAAACAGGAUUAGAUACCCCUGUAGUC